GUUGUUGUUAUUUCUUGGGCCGCUUCCGCGGCAUAUGGAGGUUCCCAGGCUAGGGUCCUAAAAAGCAAAAGAAAAAAAAAAAUCAGGGAUAUACAUGAUGAAAAUUAUGAUUAUUAGUUAAAUUAUGAUUAUUAGGACAUAAAAAGACUUGACUAAAUGUCUCUAGAAGAAAUGUUACAAACGUGUUAAUUUUGACCAAGUGAAUUUACAAGUCCAAUAUUAUUACAAUAUCCCCAAGUUUUUAGAUGAAGAGAAUUAAACAAAGUAAUUCUUAAGUUUAAGUUAAUACUGAAUUGGAGAACAGUAGUUAAGACAAUAUUGAGAAAGAAUAAACAAGAAGUUUUACUAUGAACAAGGAAAGAACAGACCAUGGGUCAGCAAACUACAGCCAGUAGGUCAAAUCUGGCUGCAGCCAGAUUUUGCAUUCACUGUCUAUGGUUGACUCCCUGAGUCAAUAGUUGCAACAAAGAUUGUGUGGCUCACCAACCUAAUAUAUUUGCUAUCAGGAAUUUUACAGAAAACAUCUGCCAACCUUUGCAACACAUACUUUAAUUAAUUGUGCUGUCAUGUCCAUAGAUUUUUCUCUAAGGGAGCUCAUGAAGGCCAAGAGAAGGCAAAUUUACAAGGUAAUACAAUCCAUGGGUACCACAAGCAAGCAGAAGCUGGAAGGUAGAGAAAUAAAGGUUAGGGAAGCCAGUUAAUAGCAAAAGAAGCAUGAACAAUGGUAAGGAGAUUUAAAAAUACUGAUGCCCGGGCCACUUAAAUCACAAUAUCUCACCUGGUUUAUUUUUAAAGUUCCUCAGGUGAUUCUAAUGUUUAACUCUGAUAGAGAACCACUGAGUUAGAAAGAACAGCAAAUUCAGAGUGGCUGGGUGAUGUCAGUGAUGUAGCACAAGAGUAAUGAACCAAAAAUACCUGCUGUUAAGGUGCCCAGAGCUGCUAGAAUCCAAUUCCCGUACUCAAUACUGUUCCCACAUAUCAAUUCCCAUUAAAGCCCCAUCUUCCACAUUGUUCAACGUGUUUACAUACAAUAAACCCCUAUUAAUGAGGUAGGCUGAUUAACUUCUUUUCUUGAGACCAAAAGAGCCAACUUCAUAUAGAAAUUUCUAUCAGAAAUAUAGUUGCAUGAAAAAAACGCCCAGCAGAAAUGUAAAACACUUGGAAUUGAUAGGGUAUGACUAUAGAAUAAAAAAAUCAUACACAAUCUACCCCAUGUACCAGAGCGAAAUCUUUUUCAGAAGCCCAGUUUAUGUUGUAGCAAAGCCACUAAUUAUACAGCUGCCUUUGUGAUUCAUACCUGCACCCACUUAGGGUUAAGCACUGAGGCAAAUGGUAGUGACUGAUUACAGCAACUACAAAGAAAUAAGCCAAGCGGGGUUCAACAGUUGUUUCUCUUCUGACGAUGACAUGCAAAUUCUGAUAUAAUCACAAGGUAUCGACCCUGGAAAGCAUGACUUUGUCUCUGUUACAGCUAGAUAUGGUGCUGUUACCAUUCCAACAGGCAUGGAAUAACAUGGAUUAGACCAUAGGUUCCCAAGUUUGAGAACCAUUGGGCUAAAUGUGUCAGUUCAGGUUCCUACAAAUACAUAUUCACUCCCCUCUGAAGACCACCAUUCUAUCUAUUGUCACAGCUGUAGCACAGCCCUUAAUGACCAGCUUUUGUUUUACAUUAUCUAUUAUUACAUCCUCUCCACUGAGCACAGUUGAUGGGACAUACAUUGCCAGGAGCCUAUGACAUGUCUCAGCAUGAAAAAGCACUGCACAGAUAAACUAGGCCAAUUAAGAUUCUCAUUCUUUGGAAUUUGAGUAGAAACAAUGAAAACUAGGUCAUUAGCAGUGAAUGCUGAAGCUGAAAGCCUCGUCAAAGUAGGGCUUAGUGGCAAAUCCAGUCAUGAGGAAGAAAAAAUGAAGAUGGAAGAAUAGCUGAUCAAAUAGCUGGUCUCAUUCAAGUCAACAGAAAAGGUCUACAAAUCCCAAGUGAUUAAGAUUCCUAUGAAAUCCCUAUCUUCUUUACUCUGUCUUACUAUAUGAACCUAUAUGAUAAAUAUCCAUUUCUUUAGCUAACCCUGUGUCUUAUUUCUUGAAACCAGAAAUCCUAUGUAAUCAGAAAAUAGUGUAGAGUUGGGUUACAUAAACAGAACUUUGGUAGGACAUGGAAUAUUUAAACCUGUUUAUUACUUGGUGGUGGGACAGUAACAGACACACCCCACCACAACCCAGGCUAGAAUGUUAAGGGUCUACAGGAACUGUGGCAAAGUUACUAUUGCAAGACUACACAUCUCAUGAAGGUAAGUUUUGGUACAAUCACAACAGAGGAAAUUCAGUCACCAAGGAAGAUCAAAGAUAGGUGGAUGCUUCCAAAUUUGGCAGGCAAAUUUCUAAAGUGGCCUCAUGACAUCACUUCAGACUACAGUAUCUGGCUGUGACCUGGUUACUCUCUAACAUUUCUGCUUAAGAGCUGCUGGAAAAGUAUAAACAGAAGCAUCUUUAGAAAUGAAAAAAAUGAGAUGAAAGGUAUAUGUGCUCUGUGGUCAAGAUGUGGAAAUGCAAUACAAACACAUGUGAAUCAAGUGGUGGCUACACUCAAGUCCCAUCUAAGUUCAACUGUCCCACUCAGUUCUCGAGACAGGCAGUCCUAGUCCUAGAGUAAUGAAUUUUAGAAUAUGACCUGUCCUGUCAUCCCAAGCAGAAUGUACCAGAUAUGAGACACAGUACCCAAGUGUUAUGCCACUGUAAGACUCAAAAACUGACUACUCAAGCAAAGGUAAGCGAAGCCACUUAAACCCUUGCAUUGAAAAAUAAAGUUUGUGAAAUGCAGAAAGAGUGAGGCCCAUAGCAGAGGAAACAAUAUUCAAUAACAGUGCUGGGAAACAUGAGAUACAGCCAAAGACACUAGAGUAGUAAGCAAGGCUUAGUAAUGAAUAACUGAAAACUUAUGAGGAAGCAUAAUACAACAAAGCUAGGGAGUAAGCUAAAGCUUGAGUAUAUAAUGAGGAGGAAGGCAUGAAGGCAGAGAAAAAGAGGAAUUAAGCAUAAGGAUCACAGUUAAUAACACUGUAGUAAUACUGAAAAUUCAUUCAGAGUAGAUUUCAGGUACUCUCAAUCACGAAAGAAAAAUACGGUAACUAUGUAAGAAGUUAAUUAGUUUGGCGCUUGAUUAUAGUAAUCAUUUCACUAGGUAUAUCAAAGCAUCAGGUUGUAAACCUGAAAUACGUAGAAUUUUCAUUUAAAAAAAAAAAGAUGUUAAAGGUGGCAUACUAGAUGAAUCAUAUAAACCCCUGUUGCUUGGAUCUAUCUUGGAACCAUCUCCAAAUCACAAACCAACUCUCCUCAGAGA
rnacentral:lncRNA from 1 species